CCUACGGGGGGCAGCAGUGGGGGAUAUUGCACAAUGGGGGGAACCCUGAUGCAGCGACGCCGCGUGGGUGAAGAAGCGCCUCGGCGCGUAAAGCCCUGUCAGCAGGGAAGAAAAUGACAGUACCUGAAGAAGAAGCCCCGGCUAACUACGGGCCAGCAGCCGCGGUAAUACGUAGGGGGCAAGCGUUAUCCGGAUUGACUGGGUGUAAAGGGGGCGCAGACGGCGAUGCAAGCCAGGAGUGAAAGCCCGGGGCCCAACCCCGGGACUGCUCUUUGAACUGCGGGGCUGGAGGGCAGGAGGGGCAGGCGGAAUUCCUGGUGUAGCAGUGAAAUGCGUAGAUAUCAGGAGGAACACCGGUGGCGAAGGCGGCCUGCUGGACUGCAACUGACGUUGAGGCCCGAAAGCGUGGGGAGCAAACAGGAUUAGAUACCCUGGUAGUC
rnacentral:rRNA from 1 species